rnacentral:rRNA from 1 species
UGCACGGCAUCCCUAGUACGGCGAGUGAAGCGGGAACAGCUCAAUUUGAAAUCUGGCCCUCGGGUCCGAGUUGUAAUUUGUAGAGGAUGCUUUUGGUGCGGUGCCUUCCGAGUUCCCUGGAACGGGACGCCUUAGAGGGUGAGAGCCCCGUACGGUUGGACGCCUAGCCUCUGUAAAGCUCCUUCGACGAGUCGAGUAGUUUGGGAAUGCUGCUCUAAAUGGGAGGUAUAUUUCUUCUAAAGCUAAAUACUGGCCAGAGACCGAUAGCGCACAAGUAGAGUGAUCGAAAGAUGAAAAGCACUUUGAAAAGAGGGUUAAAUAGCACGUGAAAUUGUUGAAAGGGAAGCGUUUAUCACCAGACUUUUUCUAGGGGAAUCAUCCGGCGUUCUCGCCGGUGCACUUCCCCUAGUUGAGGCCAGCAUCGGUUUUCGGAGGGGGAUAAAAGCUUCGGGAAUGUGACUCCCUCGGGAGUGUUAUAGCCCGUUGCAUAAUACCCUUCUGGGGACCGAGGUUCGCGCAUCUGCAAGGAUGCUGGCAUAAUGGUGAUCAACGACCCGUCUUGAACAAACGGACCAAAA